rnacentral:rRNA from 1 species
UCCCCUAGUAACGGCGAGUGAAGAGGGAAAAGCCCAGCAUUAACCCACAGCCUUGCGCUGUCGGGAACUGUGGUGUAUAGGAAGCCUACUUGUCGGCAUGUUCGGGUACCCAAGUCCUCCGGAUGGUGGCCUCUCCCAUAUGACGUGUCAGGCCCAUAUGGGCACCCCACGGCAUCAGCCUGUAUCUUCCUCGGAGUCUGGUUGUUUGGGAAUGCAACCCAGAGUGGGUGGUAAACUCCAUCUAAGGCUAAAUACUGCCACCAGUCCGAUAACAAACAAGUAC